rnacentral:rRNA from 1 species
UACGUAGGGGGCAAGCGUUGUUCGGAAUCAUUGGGCGUAAAGCGCGUGUAGGCGGCCCGGUAAGUCCGCUGUGAAAGUCGGGGGCUCAACCCUCGAAUGCCGGUGGAUACUGUCGGGCUAGAGUGCGGGAGAGGCGAGUGGAAUUCCUGGUGUAGCGGUGAAAUGCGCAGAUAUCAGGAGGAACACCGAUUGCGAAGGCAGCGCGCUGGAACGUAACUGACGCUGAGGCGCGAAAGCGUGGGGAGCAAACAGG